rnacentral:rRNA from 1 species
GAGCGCACCUUCGGGUGAGCGGCGGACGGGUUAGUAACGCGUGGGAACAUACCCUUUUCUACGGAAUAGCCUCGGGAAACUGAGAGUAAUACCGUAUAAGCCCUUCGGGGGAAAGAUUUAUCGGGAAAGGAUUGGCCCGCGUUAGAUUAGAUAGUUGGUGGGGUAAUGGCCUACCAAGUCUACGAUCUAUAGCUGGUUUUAGAGGAUGAUCAGCAACACUGGGACUGAGACACGGCCCAGACUCCUACGGGAGGCAGCAGUGGGGAAUCUUAGACAAUGGGCGCAAGCCUGAUCUAGCCAUGCCGCGUGUGUGAUGAAGGUCUUAGGAUCGUAAAGCACUUUCGCCAGGGAUGAUAAUGACAGUACCUGGUAAAGAAACCCCGGCUAACUCCGUGCCAGCAGCCGCGGUAAUACGGAGGGGGUUAGCGUUGUUCGGAAUUACUGGGCGUAAAGCGUACGUAGGCGGAUUGGAAAGUUGGGGGUGAAAUCCCAGGGCU